UGGGUAACCUGCCUCAAAGAGGGGAAUAGCCUCCCGAAAGGGAGAUUAAUACCGCAUAAUAUGUUUAAGUCGCAUGACUUUAACAUCAAAAGGAUUUUUCUUUUUAAGAAAUUCCACUUUGAGAUGGACCCGCGGCGCAUUAGCUAGUUGGUGAGGUAACGGCUCACCAAGGCAACGAUGCGUAGCCGACCUGAGAGGGUGAUCCGGCCACAUUGGAACUGAGACACGGUCCAGACCCCUAGGGAGCAG
rnacentral:rRNA from 1 species